rnacentral:rRNA from 1 species
GUCUACAGCCAGGCCACCCUGCACAAGUAUGAUCCCGUCUGAUUUCGGAAUCUAAGCAGGGUCGGGCCUGGUUAGUACUUGGAUGGGAGACCACGUAGGAAGACCAGGUGCCAUAGGCA